rnacentral:lncRNA from 1 species
AGAAUUCAAAGAAAAAAUGAUAUAUCAGCUUUAAAUUUUGGAACACAAAAAGAUGGAAGCGAUAUAACAUCUAGUAGUAUUAAUAGCAGCAGUACUAGUAGUAUUUCUGCCAAAAGAAAUAAUAUGAUAACUACUCGUAAUGUUGAUCCAAACGCAUUAGUACCACAGUUUUUAAACUUAAAAAAAAUGGGAGAAGGUGAAGAACAGAAAAAUAAAAUACAUACAUCUGUAAUAAAAAAAAAAAAUAUAUGUGUAUCUGUACAUGCACUAAACGAAAAUAAAACAUUACAUGAGCUAGAAAAAAAAAAAAAAAAAAAAAUGAACAAUUUUGAUAAAAAUGAUAAGUUUGAUAUUUUUGCAAAUUUAGGAGAUGACAUAUUCAGAUAUAUUCUUGCAAAUGUAAAAAAUAAUAAAAAUAUUAUUUUAUUAAAUAAAAGGUUUUGUAAUUUUGUUCGAUCGACAAGAGUCAAAUUAAUAUAUAAUGAAUUAUUAAAAAAUACAAUAUCUCCAGAAAGUAUAUUAAAAACCAUAUAUGCUUCUAAAAAUAUACAAGUUUUAGAUCUGUCUGGAUGUUCUCAUAUGACAUCGCAUCAUUUUGGUUUAUUAUGUAAUUCAAAUAAUAUUGAAUUUUGUAAUAGUUUAAAAAUUCUAUGCUUAAAAAAUUGUAGUAGGUUAACCGAUUCUAAUUUAAAAACACUUUUACAUCGGUUUAGAAAUUUAACAGCACUGGAUAUUCGUAAUUGUUAUCAUAUUACUACUGAAGGUAUUUAUUCGUUAAAAUUUAAAAGGGUGUUAAAAAAGUUAUUUAUGGGUAAUUCGACGGGGGCUAAUGUGUCGAAUCAUCACUCGAAUGAUACGUUUAAAUUGUUGUUUAAUAAUGUUUGCGGCGACAAUAGUGCUAGUACAAGUGGUGUUACAAGUGGUGUUACAAGUGGUGCAACAGGUAAUGUUACAAGUGCUGUAACAGGUGCCACAACAUGUGCCACAACAAACACAACCGAUAAAAAACGAACCGAAGAGAAUCACAUAAUACAACCACAAACAUUCUUAGUAAACCUUGAGUGUUUGGAAAUAACCUUUGCUAAACAAUUGAAUGACAUUACUUUAUUAAGUGUCAUAGCAAAAAAAUUGAAAAUUUUGAAUUUAAAAGGAUG